rnacentral:tRNA from 1 species
GGUCUGUUGGUGAAGUGGUUAACACGUCGCCCUCUCAAGGCGAUAUACAUGGGUUCAAACCCCAUACAGAUCA